rnacentral:lncRNA from 1 species
UCAGCAUUAAUUAAAAAAGUUUUAUAUUGUCAUUAUUUUUACACUAAUUAAGAUAUUACAACACAUGAUUUAAACAUAAUAAUUAUAAAAAAUUACAUGAUGGACAUCAUGCAUUACAUGUAUACUCAUGCUAUAUAGAAGUUGCAAUUCUAUUUCCUAUACCACUCAUCUCUGCAAUUCAGAUUUCAUAUCAAAUCAUUCAUUGAAAAGAAUUAAAAUACAACAAUAUGUAAUUUACAAUAUUCACAUUUAAUCAAUGGCGAAUACAACAACAAUAAGUUAUUUACAAAUCCAGAGCUUAGGACCAUGCCCUUAGUAUUGCUUGCUGCGAUGGAAGGCCCUGCCUCAGUCUCACUUGCCAUUGUGACUUCGUUUGGGUUUCAGGUGCUUUGUCGAAUGCAAUAACUACCUAUGAAGUGAGGGUGGUUGGUAGACAUUAGCCAUCAAGUAAAAAGUGCUUGUUUCGCAAAGAAGAUGCAAAAGCACAGCAGUUCCAAACAUAACAUAAAGCCAACACAAAACCAAAUUGUCCAAAACACAGAGCUGAAAAUAAUAUAUGGUAUAUGUAUACAUAGGUGCCCAGUGUAUUUCAUAUCCAAUCACAACCAUUUUGCAGUAAUUUCAAUGCAUUCAGCAGAAAUUAAACUGAAAAAUGCAAAUCCACAGAUAAUAACAAAAUGUACCUGUAAAAGAUAAGUUUGUGAUUGUGAAGACAUAAUAAGAAUCAAUAUUAUCAUCAUCAUUGUUAUCACUUUCUUAAAAAACUCAAGAUAUGCAAGCCCUCUAAUUGUAAAGAAGACAAAUUCAACUGAGUAUCUGCCAUUUGAAUUAAUCAAGCCUAUUUGAAAGAAGUCAUUCUUUCUAUCCCCAGACAACUCUAUUUCAACCUUCAACUAUUUAUCUGCCACUGCACUAUUUUUAGAAUUAUCAUCCCUUAUUCACCCAAAUUCUUUACAACCCAAGUGAAUUAAUUUGCUUAUCUUUUAUUCUCGAUAACAAGAUUUUCCAAAUUGUCAUCGCCAACUUAUUAAUUGCUUCUUAGUAUGGUAUAAUAAAACAAACAAAUCAUAUGAGCUAGCAAACAAAUACCAGUUUAUUUGAUGAUGGCUUCACUAAUAUUGCAGGCAAAACAUUUCCAGCUAUUCCAACUGUAAGAUACAAACAGGAAAGCAAAAACCAAAUCCCAUAACUAGAAGUAUAAAAAAUCUUGCCAAAAUAUUUACAGAACCCACGAUUGUAACUUGCUUUCUCAUAACUCAGCAACAAAGAUACCACCACCAAAUCCCACAUCCAUAAUAAGAGACAGAACCAAAGCAAAAAUGAAACAUUUCUUCUUCAUGGACGACAUUGCCAUUUCCACUCUCAUUAUUUCUCUUAAACUAUUUUUCUUUUCUUGUUCCUUAAAAUGCAGAGACAAGUAAAGCUUGGAAAUAUAAGAAUAAUGAAAUCACAUGCACAAAAUAAAUAAUAAUUAAUCAAAAUUUACCCAAAUAGAAGAAUAAUACCAGUGAGCCAAUGUCGAUUCUCAACAUAUAUGCUCCGAUCUCUUUAUAGGAGCAACUUGAGAGAGAGAGAGCAGCAGCGGCACCAGCACCAGUCGACAAGACAGAGCAGAGACGCAGC